ensembl:lncRNA
GUAUGGACAAUAAAAGAGGUCGAGAGUAUGGACAAUAAAAGAGGUCGAGAGUAUGGACAAUAAAAGAGGUAGUGAGUAUGGACAAUAAAAGAGGUAGAGAGUAUGGACAAUAAAAGAGGUAGUGAGUAUGGACAAUAAAAGAGGUCGAGAGUAUGGACAAUAAAAGAGGUCGAGAGUAUGGACAAUAAAAGAGGUCGAGAGUAUGGACAAUAAAAGAGGUAGAGAGGCAUCUGGUGAAGGAACAGUAUAGAUAUAAGAAUGAGAAAGAGAGGGGCAUCGAAAACACAAGGUUUGGUGAUUGAUGAGGAGAUGAGCCAAAGAGCGUGGAAGAAAAUGGAAAAUAAGAAGAAAGGAUGGAGGAGAGGCAGAGAGAAAGCUGGAGAAGAAAAUGAAAGGAAAGGAAAUGAGAGGGAGAGCCCAAUAGAGAUAUUAAAGAAAGAAAGAAAACGUCGUUCCAGUUGAGAGGAGCGUUUUGCACUCUGGUCUUUCUUUCUUGUUCGGGUGGAGAGACCAAAUCCAAUGGUGAAUUGUGAAGGGUGGAGACACACACAGGGCAUUGUGGGGGUCACAACCUUGACUAUCGAUCCGAGCCUCCAUAAUUUCCCGGGCUUGCUGAGAUUCC